ACGUAGGAGUGUAGCCUUUGGGAGUCUUGCAGUGAAAGCUAUGAUGAGUUUCUCCUCCUGUCAGUGUAAAGCCGUGACCGUGACAGUCUUCCUCUUCUUCCUCCUCUUUUUCCUCUUCUUUUCACAUGUACAGCCUCGAAGGUCCUCCUCUUGACCGUGACAGCCUUCCUCUUCUUCUUCCUCUUUUUCCUCUUCUUUUCACCUGUACAGCUUCGAAGGUGCUCCUCCUC